CCUACGGGCGGCAGCAGUGGGGAGUAUUGCACAAUGGGCGCAAGCCUGAUGCAGCCAUGCCGCGUGUGUGAAGAAGGCCUUCGGGUUGUAAAGCACUUUCAGCGGGGAGGAAGGCGGUGAGGUUAAUAACCUCAUCGAUUGACGUUACCCGCAGAAGAAGCACCGGCUAACUCCGUGCCAGCAGCCGCGGUAAUACGGAGGGUGCAAGCGUUAAUCGGAAUUACUGGGCGUAAAGCGCACGCAGGCGGUCUGUCAAGUCGGAUGUGAAAUCCCCGGGCUCAACCUGGGAACUGCAUUCGAAACUGGCAGGCUGGAGUCUUGUAGAGGGGGGUAGAAUUCCAGGUGUAGCGGUGAAAUGCGUAGAGAUCUGGAGGAAUACCGGUGGCGAAGGCGGCCCCCUGGACAAAGACUGACGCUCAGGUGCGAAAGCGUGGGGAGCAAACAGGAUUAGAUACCCGGGUAGUC
rnacentral:rRNA from 1 species